GGAAGCCGGCCUUCACGAGCAAAGGUCUUCAAAGCAGUGUCAAUGACAGAGGCAACAAGAUCGUUUCCAUUCACAAGAAACCUGAUAGGCCCUGCACUUCCAAGAACAUUCACAGUAAUUAAGAAUCUACUCUUCUUCACAUUAUUAUUAUUGUGGUUGAUGUCAUCUCUAGGUUUCAGCUUCUUAUUAUGCACUUGUAUUGGCAUCAUUUUCUCAUUCACAUUACUCUUCAUCAUUAUUUAUAUUUAGGAGAAAGAAAGGGUUUACAGAGAGGGAGAGAGAUAGGGUUUAAGGAUCAAGGCCAAGGCAGCGAUAGUACCAGGCUUGUUUGCAG
rnacentral:lncRNA from 1 species